GGCCUCGUGGCCCAAUGGCAAGGCGUCUGACUACGAAAAGAAUCGCCCCGGUAUUAAUUAUCGGUGUUGAGUUCUCCAAGGUAAUCAGGAGAUUCUGGGUUCGACCCCCAGCGAGGUCA